rnacentral:rRNA from 1 species
AGCUUGCUCCCUGAUGUUAGCGGCGGACGGGUGAGUAACACGUGGGUAACCUGCCUGUAAGACUGGGAUAACUCCGGGAAACCGGGGCUAAUACCGGAUGGUUGUUUGAACCGCAUGGUUCAAACAUAAAAGGUGGCUUCGGCUACCACUUACAGAUGGACCCGCGGCGCAUUAGCUAGUUGGUGAGGUAACGGCUCACCAAGGCGACGAUGCGUAGCCGACCUGAGAGGGUGAUCGGCCACACUGGGACUGAGACACGGCCCAGACUCCUACGGGAGGCAGCAGUAGGGAAUCUUCCGCAAUGGACGAAAGUCUGACGGAGCAACGCCGCGUGAGUGAUGAAGGUUUUCGGAUCGUAAAGCUCUGUUGUUAGGGAAGAACAAGUACCGUUCGAAUAGGGCGGUACCUUGACGGUACCUAACCAGAAAGCCACGGCUAACUACGUGCCAGCAGCCGCGGUAAUACGUAGGUGGCAAGCGUUGUCCGGAAUUAUUGGGCGUAAAGGGCUCGCAGGCGGUUUCUUAAGUCUGAUGUGAAAGCCCCCGGCUCAACCGGGGAGGGUCAUUGGAAACUGGGGAACUUGAGUGCAGAAGAGGAGAGUGGAAUUCCACGUGUAGCGGUGAAAUGCGUAGAGAUGUGGAGGAACACCAGUGGCGAAGGCGACUCUCUGGUCUGUAACUGACGCUGAGGAGCGAAAGCGUGGGGAGCGAACAGGAUUAGAUACCCUGGUAGUCCACGCCGUAAACGAUGAGUGCUAAGUGUUAGGGGGUUUCCGCCCCUUAGUGCUGCAGCUAACGCAUUAAGCACUCCGCCUGGGGAGUACGGUCGCAAGACUGAAACUCAAAGGAAUUGACGGGGGCCCGCACAAGCGGUGGAGCAUGUGGUUUAAUUCGAAGCAACGCGAAGAACCUUACCAGGUCUUGACAUCCUCUGACAAUCCUAGAGAUAGGACGUCCCCUUCGGGGGCAGAGUGACAGGUGGUGCAUGGUUGUCGUCAGCUCGUGUCGUGAGAUGUUGGGUUAAGUCCCGCAACGAGCGCAACCCUUGAUCUUAGUUGCCAGCAUUCAGUUGGGCACUCUAAGGUGACUGCCGGUGACAAACCGGAGGAAGGUGGGGAUGACGUCAAAUCAUCAUGCCCCUUAUGACCUGGGCUACACAC